GCCACUUGAUUUUAUACAGAAAAGAAACUUUCUCUACAAAUAUAUGAUUAAUCUUUUCUUUCUGUCUGAAGCAGACUUUCAGAACUCAUGGUUUUAAGUUUCAUUGUUUUUGAGAAUGGCGUAUGUUUGUUGCAGUGGUAAGACACUAGGCAAGAACACAAGCAAAACAAAUCACUGUUUUGUACUAGCUACAUCACAAGCUACUGUGAUGUAGCUUGUCUGUAGUUUCCAACAUAGAUGCACUAAGCAAAGCAGCCAUCUGGACCAGAUCCUGCUGCUGUUGUGUACACUGAACAUAGUCUAAGCCUGUACCCAUCUGAUUUCCCUGAAGUUAGAUAUGCAAUAGAGUUCUACUUGGCUCAUGUAAAAAUGAUGUAAGUCAGUCCAUUCAAAUUUAAGUGGAACUGUCUCAGUUGUACAAAACUGUCUUAGAAGAAACCAACUGAGCAGGUAAACCUCCAUCUCUGCAUGGUGGGAUCCACAUUUUGGGAUAAAACCUCUAUACAUGCAAUACUGUACAAGGCAUAUGGAAAGGUUUGUCGAACUAUCCCACAGGGCAUUUGCUGUUUACAUGUGGAUCUACAAACGAUGUGCAUUAAAAGGUCACUACAUUCAACUAGUCAUUGUCCAGGCUCAGAACAAGGUUUCAUGAAUGUCUUCUUGAAAGGAGCAUUGGGGGCCUGACUGUUACCAGAUGAGUCACAGAGGCAACUUCAGUUUCAGCCAUGGCACACCAUGGACAAAGAUUAAAGGAUUAAACUUCAGCCUAACCAAGAUCUUCAACAUGAAGCAGUGGAUGAAAAUGUCACUUCACAUCUAGAAAUUAUCAAUAUCU
rnacentral:lncRNA from 1 species